rnacentral:rRNA from 1 species
GAUGAACGCUGGCGGCGUGCCUAAUACAUGCAAGUCGAGCGAAUGGAUUAAGAGCUUGCUCUUAUGAAGUUAGCGGCGGACGGGUGAGUAACGCGUGGGUAACCUGCCCAUAAGACUGGGAUAACUCCGGGAAACCGGGGCUAAUACCGGAUAACAUUUUGAACCGCAUGGUUCGAAAUUGAAAGGCGGCUUCGGCUGUCACUUAUGGAUGGACCCGCGUCGCAUUAGCUAGUUGGUGAGGUAACGGCCCACCAAGGCAACGAUGCGUAGCCGACCUGAGAGGGUGAUCGGCCACACUGGGAUUGAGACACGGCCCAGACUCCUACGGGAGGCAGCAGUAGGGAAUCUUCCGCAAUGGACGAAAGUCUGACGGAGCAACGCCGCGUGAGUGAUGAAGGCUUUCGGGUCGUAAAACUCUGUUGUUAGGGAAGAACAAGUGCUAGUUGAAUAAGCUGGCACCUUGACGGUACCUAACCAGAAAGCCACGGCUAACUACGUGCCAGCAGCCGCCGUAA